rnacentral:lncRNA from 1 species
AGUGAGAUAUUUUCUCAAGUAAGUUAAAUAUCUCUCUGAGCUUCAUUUAUUUUAUAGUGCAUUUUUUUUCAUUUUUUCAAGUUUUGUUGAAGUAUAGCUGAUUUACAAUGAGGUGAUAAAUUCUGCUGUACAGCAAAGUGAUUCAGUUAUACAUAUGCCCACGCAUUCAUUCUUUUUCAGAUUUUUCUCCCACAUUAUCACAGAAUACUGGGUAGAGUUCCCUGAGCUAUAGAGCAGGUCCCCAUUGCCACAUGGGGCUAACAGCUGCCAUACUGGACAGCACUGGGGUAACUGCUCCACAUCCUUAGCUAGCGAGUGAAAGGCACAAAGCAGAGGCCCAGUGAACACUCUGUGAACAUGUGGGAUAAGAUAGGAGCCAUUGUUUCUCCUGAAAGGUAAGAGAUUCCGUUUGUUAUUGAAACAUACACGAACCAAUACAAGCUUCAUGUUGUUUGAGGAUGAGGCAGAGACAAAGGAGACUGGAAAGUAGGCAGAAGUCAGUUAACGGAAGGCCUUUUAUAACUGAGACAUUUGAAUUUUAUCCUGAAGGAAAGAUAAUGGAUCUUGUGACACCAUUCAGGUUUGAUGGGCCCUACGUGAGUCAGGGAGAGUGACUAGGGAGCUGGUAUAACAUCCAAGCAGUGAGGCCUGGUACUGCAACAAAGUACAGCUCCACUAGAAAGGCACACACACCUUUCCCCAUCGACCUACAGAUGGAGCAGUCUGUUGGACUCCAUGUAAAAGGGGAAUUUGGGGGCCCAGCCAGUGAGGGAACCAUCAACCUGGCCUCUUACAUUUGCUGCGGCUUCACUUUCAUCUUGUAGCUGUUGGCUGUGAGGCAUGAUUCCACAGAUUCAUCAUGGUGGAAGGCUUUGCCCUCAUGAAAAGGAUUGUGGAUCUAUUUAAAGGUCACUUUCACAUGUCAAGGUCAUUUUUUCUUAUUUUUCUUUUAGCCCAGGCCAGACCUCAGAAGCUCCAGCUUUUCAGUGUAUUCCAGCUGGGGUGGGGGUUUUUCCUCCCUGUACUUUUUUCACCCACAAAUGAUACUCCAUAAAACAAGAGACAAAAGAGAAAAAAAAAAAAGCAGUGAUAGUUUAGAUAAUUCUGCACCAUCCAUAGGCAGGGAACUAGGGGCAGGAGUGGAAUAGAAAGUCCACACAAAUAAAUCAGUGUUGAUCUGAAGUUAACACAUCAAAAUCCAUUCCAUAGAUCUGAACUAUUGUAUUUUGAGAAUUUCAGCUGUUUAGCUUUUCAGCAGGUAUCAGGGAACACACUUUGGUCCUGCAUUACCAUAAAGAACUCUUUUUGGUUUUGUUUUUGUCUUUGUAUUUUAGGCUGCACACGUGGCAUGUGGAGGUUCCCAGGCUAGGUGUCCAAUCGGAGCUGUAGCGGCCAGCCUACACCACAGCCACAACAAUGGGGGAUCUGAGCUGUGUCUACGACCUACACCACAUCUCAUGGCAAUGCUCAAUCCUUAACCCACUGAGAAAGGCCAGGGAUGAACCCACAUCCUCAAGGAUGCUAGUUGGGUUCAUUAACCACUGAGCCACAAUGGGAACUCCCAUAAGGAACUCUUUAGGAAAAUUUGAUGAAAGUAGAGUCAUAGGCAUGAGAAAGAUUUGUUUAAAAACUACUUUAAGCUUUUUCUUUGGGAUUUUUGUACAGGAGGAUGUCUGUCACAGUGAUUUUCAUGUUAUUUAAUCAGCCAUGGCUGUCACAGUAAUGUGGACACAAAGCCCUUACACAGGCACAAAGGCAUCAGGAAUUACUUGUUAACUCCUCUGUAAUGAAGCAGAACUUAAACUAAGUCCAAGUUCUACCACUAACUUCCUAUAUGAUCUCAAGCAAAUCCAAUAAAUUUCUAAGCCUUGGUUUCCCCAUCUUUAAGUCGAGGGCAAUUUACAGAGUAGUUGUGAAGACAGAGUGGAAAAAAACUGGCAUGUUGACUGAUGUUCCAUAAAUCUGUUCUUUAUCUGAGUAAAGUAGUACAUGGACUUGGGGCCGAUAGACUUAGGAUAAGGAUCCAGCUCUGUCCCUCCCUAAUUGCAUGGCCUGGGACAACUCACACACAUCAUUUGGCUUUACUAUAAAAUGAGAUGACAGUAUUUUCCCCAUUUAAACAGCAUGGUGUAUUCGACAUUCAGUUUUGUCUUCGUCCUCUGAAGGCAGUCUGAGGCAAGGAUUAAGGUGCUGACUUCAAGGUGGAGGUGCAAGACAAACAAGACCAAGGUAAAAAAGAAAAGCAGAAGUGAAUGAAAGAAGUAGGUGAACUAAUGUGAUCUGUACUUUGCUAAGGCGCCACUUGUCAGGGUGAGCUGCAGAGGUGCUCAUCCCGCAAGGCACACUCAUUCCUUCAGCCAGGAUAACUUUCCAGAAGGUUAUACUCAGCACUCUCUUUUUCCUCCCUCUGUAUCUACCUUGUUCCUCUUGGUCUCCUUUUCACAUUGAUCAAGGUCUAUCCCACAGGGAGCUUAUGUCUCACACCUCUGAGUCAUAGCACUUGCCCUCGCCAUAGCUGAUCAGGGAGAAAUUCAUCUCUCCCAUGUGGACCAAAAGGACUAGGCCUUGUGACCUCAACAGCUCAGAGAGCUCUGUGACCACAACGGCCCCAGAACGCCUCAGCCCUACUGUGCUGGGCUCUACUGCUGUGCAGGGGAAGAUGGGCAUCAGUGGCACAGAGCUGGAAUGAGAUUUCAAUCUUUAAAAGAUACUUGGAAAGCUUAAAUGUGAUACGUCCAUUUUAGAAAUAAGGAAUUGGAGGCCCAAAGAGAGAAAUCCACUUCUCUAAGUCACACAGCUACCAUUGUCAAAGUCCCUUAAACCUGUGUUCCUCCACGUCUAUAUUCCAUAAUCUACCUGGCAAUCUUGUCUGAAAGGAGAUUCUGACCCAGUAGGCUUGAGCUGAGCAAAGAUAGGGCCUGUGGACCACGUUUUGUGUAGCAAGGCUUUAAACGGCCAGUCGCCUUGGAAAUCCACACUAAGCAUCAGGUAAAUGAGACUU